rnacentral:rRNA from 1 species
GUCCUGAUCGAGAUAGUUAAAGACUUGGGAUAUAAUAUACCAGAAUAUGAAGAAUUGAACGAGGAAUACGACCAUCUAGGAAGGCAACUGAACAAACUCAUACAGACAUGGAAAUAAUCGAACAUCGAACUUCGAACUUCGAACUUCGAGAAGGUAGGGGAGCGUUCCGUAUGCAGGGAAGCUAUACUGUAAGGAGUAGUGGAGCGUACGGAAGUGAGAAUGCCGGUAUAAGUAAGCGAGAAGGCAGGUGAGAAUCCUGCCCGCCGAAAGCCUAAGGUUUUCUGGGGAAGGCUCGUCCGCCCAGAGUAAGCCGGGGCCUAAGCCGAGGCAGAAAUGCGUAGGCGAUGGAGAAUCGGUUGAGAAUCCGAUGCCACUGGCAGCCGUUUGAAGGAUGGGGUGACACAGGAGGGUAAGCUGAGCGCGCGGAUGGAAAAGCGCGUCCAAGGUGGUAGGGUGAGAGUUAGGCAAAACCGGCUCUCGUAUAAGCCUGAGAACUGAAGGGGAGCGAAAUU